CAAUAGUAAUACUAUAUAAAAAUACUUUUUCUCGGUCGUAUGGGGUAGUUAAUGCUUUUCUUUAAGGUUUUUUGUGUAUUUCUUUUCUGCGGGGGGAAUCGUUUUUUAGUUAGUAAUAAUCAUCAGCAUUUUCCCCUAUGAAUUAAAAUGCGCAAAUUUUAUUCAGUAAAAGGUAUUUAAAUAAUUUUUGAAACACAAAAAAAUCAAAAAAUAAUGUGUCUAUCCUGGAUAGGGAGUAGGAAUAAACACUACUUUAAAAUACUUUAGUUUUAAAAUAAAGCAUAAACGUCU